rnacentral:rRNA from 1 species
AUUGAACGCUGGCGGCAGGCCUAACACAUGCAAGUCGAACGGUAACAGGAAGAAGCUUGCUUCUUUGCUGACGAGUGGCGGACGGGUGAGUAAUGUCUGGGACACUGCCUGAUGGAGGGGGAUAACUACUGGAAACGGUAGCUAAUACCGCAUAACGUCGCAAGCCCAAAGAGGGGGACUUUCGGGCCUCUUGCCAUCGGAUGUGCCCAGGUGGGAUUAUCUAGUAGGUGGGGUAACGGCUCACCUAGGCCACGAUCCCUAGCUGGUCUGAGAGGGUGACCAGCCACACUGGAACUGAGACACGGUCCAGACUCCUACGGGAGGCAGCAGUGGGGAAUAUUGCACAAUGGGCGCAAGCCUGAUGCAGCAAUGCCGCGUGUAUGAAGAAGGCCUUCGGGUUGUAAAGUACUUUCAGCGGGGAGGAAGGGAGUAAAGUGAAUACCUUUGCUCAUUGACGUUACCCGCAGAAGAAGCACCGGCUAACUCCGUG